ACACUGCUGAGGUGUCCCAUACUAGGACGAAACGGCCGUCCAGUGC
rfam:Schistosoma mattheei strain Denwood, Zambia genome assembly, scaffold: SMTD_scaffold0002959